GAUGAACGCUGGCGGCGUGCUUAACACAUGCCAGUCGAACGGAAAGGCCCUGCUUUUGUGCGGUGCUCGGUUGCCGCACGCGGGAGUGUCACGUGUGUAACCUGCCCUUGUCUUUGGGAUAACUUCACGAAACUGGGGCUAAUACCGGAUAGGAGCUCCUGCUGCAUGGUGGGGGUUGGAUAGUUUCGGCGGUUGGGGAUGGACUGGCGGCUUCUGAGCUAGUUGGUGGGGUAGUGGAUUACCCAGCCUUUCAAGGGUAGGUGGCCUGAGAGGGUGAUCGGCAACACUGGAACUGAGACACGGUCCAGAGUCGUACGGGAGGCAGCAGUGGGGAAUAUUGGGAAAUGGGCGGAAGCAUGAUGGAGCAAUGCCGCGUGGGUGAAGAAGGCCUUCGGGUGGUAAAGCUCGGUUGUUGGGGAAGAAAAACCGUAUGUGCAUAUACGGAAGUGUUGACGGUACCUAAAGAAAAAGCACCGGCUAACUACGUG
rnacentral:rRNA from 1 species